rnacentral:lncRNA from 1 species
GUCUUCUUCUAGGGUUUUUUGUUUUCAUAUCUUUCCUCCCUCCAUCUUGAGUUUCCUGAGAGCAUCUCAGAUCUGAAACUCCUCCUUUUACUUUCCAUCUUUGGAAGAGUCCAAAUCAAGAAGAAGGAGGUACUUGAUCAACCAUCAAAGAAGGAUCAGCGCAGUACUAGCAUACUGUGCUGAUUUUCUGAAGCAGGACUUCUGAUCGAGAUUCAUGGGCUCGUGUGGAUGACUCCUAG